CGGGUCUCCCCCCCCCCCGCCCUCUCUCUCUCUCUCAUCUCUCAUCCCUCACAUCUCUCUCUCUCUUUCUCCUCAUUUUCAUUGUUUUUUCUUGUCUGUUUAUGGCUGCGAUCCGUUGGGUUUCGAGCCUCUCUUUUGAGGGUUGGCGGGAAGAUUAGAAAAAAUUUCAUUAUUUUUUUUGGAUUUGGAUUUCUCUGUCCCUCUCUCUCUUUCUUGCUAAAAACGACGAAACGAUUUUGGGGAUUUUGUUUGUAGCUCCGGAUUCCUCAUCAUCUGGGCCCUUCUAGAGACUUUUUUUCUUUCUUUCAGCUGAAGCAGUCUUGAAUAUUGUGCUUACUGCGAAAUUUAGCUGAUUAGUACAGGAUUAACAUAAACGUUUAUUUUCUGUCCUAAAUGUAUUCAUGAGGUCCCCAAGCAAGAUGCGGCUGCUGCAGCUGUUGCUUAUGCUACUGUUGGACUGCCUCCACAUCAAAGGGAUUUCCAGGCUAAAACGGUAUUCUGCGUUUUGCUUUCUCAGUUGAUGAAUAUGAGAUUUGACAGCAGCUGGAACGGUGCUGCUACUUUUGGAUUAAAUGGAAGACGAAGGUCCAACUCGGUUUGAUCAAUUGGUGGCAUAUAAAAAUGUUGUCAUAAUUAAAGUCUGUGUAUCUAAAACAAACAAGUAUUGGUUCACAUUUUUUCUGUGUAAAUAGUUGAUAAGGUGUUUGAUAAUGUCUUUUCUGUAAAUUAUAUAAACUUAGAUAGCUUUGUAAAAUUAUUUAUUCCAUUUUCUGUUUAGUAUUUAUAA